rnacentral:tRNA from 1 species
GUGUGUGUAAUUUAAAUAAAAUAUCAAGCUGUGACCAUGACAAUAGGAA